rfam:Felis catus isolate Cinnamon breed Abyssinian chromosome D1, whole genome shotgun sequence.
GCCCGGCUGGCUCAGUCAGUUAAGCGUCUGACUUCCGCUCAGGUCAUGAUCUCACGGCUUGUGGGUUCAAGCCCCGCGUCGGGCU